GAUGAACGCUGGCGGCGUGCUUAACACAUGCAAGUCGAACGGUGAAGCCAAGCUUGCUUGGUGGAUCAGUGGCGAACGGGUGAGUAACACGUGAGCAACCUGCCCUGGACUCUGGGAUAAGCGCUGGAAACGGCGUCUAAUACUGGAUAUGAGCCCCUAUCGCAUGGUGGGGGUUGGAAAGAUUUUUUGGUCUGGGAUGGGCUCGCGGCCUAUCAGCUUGUUGGUGAGGUAAUGGCUCACCAAGGCGUCGACGGGUAGCCGGCCUGAGAGGGCGACCGGCCACACUGGGACUGAGACACGGCCCAGACUCCUACGGGAGGCAGCAGUGGGGAAUAUUGCACAAUGGGCGAAAGCCUGAUGCAGCAACGCCGCGUGAGGGAUGACGGCCUUCGGGUUGUAAACCUCUUUUAGCAGGGAAGAAGCGAAAGUGACGGUACCUGCAGAAAAAGCGCCGGCUAACUACGUGCCAGCAGCCGCGGUAAUACGUAGGGCGCAAGCGUUAUCCGGAAUUAUUGGGCGUAAAGAGCUCGUAGGCGGUUUGUCGCGUCUGCUGUGAAAUCCCGAGGCUCAACCUCGGGCCUGCAGUGGGUACGGGCAGACUAGAGUGCGGUAGGGGAGAUUGGAAUUCCUGGUGUAGCGGUGGAAUGCGCAGAUAUCAGGAGGAACACCGAUGGCGAAGGCAGAUCUCUGGGCCGUAACUGACGCUGAGGAGCGAAAGGGUGGGGAGCAAACAGGCUUAGAUACCCUGGUAGUCCACCCCGUAAACGUUGGGAACUAGUUGUGGGGACCAUUCCACGGUUUCCGUGACGCAGCUAACGCAUUAAGUUCCCCGCCUGGGGAGUACGGCCGCAAGGCUAAAACUCAAAGGAAUUGACGGGGACCCGCACAAGCGGCGGAGCAUGCGGAUUAAUUCGAUGCAACGCGAAGAACCUUACCAAGGCUUGACAUAUACGAGAACGGGCCAGAAAUGGUCAACUCUUUGGACACUCGUAAACAGGUGGUGCAUGGUUGUCGUCAGCUCGUGUCGUGAGAUGUUGGGUUAAGUCCCGCAACGAGCGCAACCCUCGUUCUAUGUUGCCAGCACGUAAUGGUGGGAACUC
rnacentral:rRNA from 1 species